rnacentral:lncRNA from 1 species
CCCAUUCAGACCCCAGUUUAGUUCAGGCACCCACAGGGAUUUUCACCACGGCCCCGCCCCCUCAGGGAACCUGCCUGACAUAGGAGGGGUCAGGACCAGGGUGGAGGUCGUAGGAAGCUGGGCUCGAUUUGGGAGAUGGGCUCGGGGGUCCCAACUGAAGCAGGGUUUUCCUCCUUUCCUCACCUUCUGGGAUCUAGUCUGGAGUUGUGGGGGGCCCCGACUUUCAUAGAAGUGCAGCCACAGCGAGCUCAGUGGAGUGCAGGGACAGCACCACACUCCUCAGGGCUGUGGGAGCUGAGGAUGGAGCCCUGCGGCCCUGAGGCCAUGAGUGGACAGAGAGAGGUGGGCAGGGGCCACCACACCAGAGAAGAGUGUCUCUACCUCGCCAGAGUUGCUGGCAGGUGCCAAGCUCCAGCCCAGGUACACGGGACCCCUGACCCUGCUCUGUUGGCAGGCAGGGGAGGGGAGGGUUCGGCACCCUGGGGUGCUUUGCCGGCAAUCUGGAGAGAGAAUGAGUGCACAUGUGUAGGCAGCUCUCUCAUCUCUGGGGGCUCCAGUGACGCCCAUCCUGGGGCUGUCUUGGUCGCUUUGCUCAGUCCAGUAUCAGGGUCUUUUUUCCCCGUUGUAGGGUCUGCAGCCUGCGGGAUGUGGACUCACAGAUGGGCAAUGUGUCCCUAGGUCUGGAUUGACCAGAAAAGCUGCUCCCUGGCCUCGGUGUGGGGAGGAGACACCACUCGUGCUCCUGGAGCCUCCUUCCCAGAGGAGGGCACCAACCCGGGGGCACUGACAGCUCUGAGGGAGCACCACCCCACGCCAAACUCAAUGGAGGGACCAGGCUGCUAUCUGGGGCCACCGUAGAGGGAAUUGCCUGCCUGCCACCUACCUAAGGGAUGGGCUCCCUUCCUCUGCUGGGACCUCCAUGGGCCUAUCGUGCCCACAAUCCAUGAGCCGUGGCCCCCAGGCAUUGCCAGGAAGCAGUCUACGUGAAAGGACGACGUGUCUAAUUUUGCAGCUACGUGGAGGAUUUGUCACACAGAACCAUCCGUUCAAUCUAGACCAUCACUAAAAGCACUCCGGAUAAUAAAUCUUCAUUUUGUAUUAACUGGAGAGGCAGCCGCCUUCUCAGAAUGGCUGUUCCCGCGUAAUCAUGAUAAAUGGAGAAUCCUGGACAGGAGAAGAGUUGCCUCGAGCUAACAUCUGUUGCCAGUCUUCCUCCUUUUUUCUUCUCCACCCCCAAAGCCCCAGUACACAGUUGUGUAGACUUGAAGCCUGAGGACUCGCACCGCAUCUAAGAUAACUGAUGAGAGAGAGGCUGAUUGGCUCACACCCUCCCUCCGCCUCGGCAGUCCCCUCCUCCUCUUCGUCCCUAGAGGCAAAUACAGCCAAAUGUGAAUGCGUGAACGGCUGCUGACUGUUGUGGCAUGUGGGACGCUGCCUCAGCGUGGUCCGAUGAGCAGUGCCAUGCCCGCGCCCAGGACUCGAACCAACGAAACACCAGGCCACCUGCAGCGGAGCGCACGAACUUAACCACUCGGCCACGGGUCCAGCCCCACGAAGGGAUGUUUUUUAACCGCUUUGAGUGACACAUCGAGGUCACCGGUGCCGGCUUCGUCGUCCCAGCACAAGGCAGGCAGCAACGGAGGACGCUGCUCUUCAUCUGAGAGCUCGUAAGAGUCAGGAAAACAAGAAUUGACAGAAGCCUCCAACUUUACCUCGAGAUGACACGAAGGGCGACUGACUCAUUCAGGAUCUUCUCUGCAAAACCUGGACUUGAGCUGGUCACUGUUUUUCGGUUCUCCUUGCACACCAUGUAAAGCCUGGCUGUACCAGCAUCUGCCACGUGGGCCUGCCUGCCCUGGGGUCACCCUCCUCUCCCCAGCCUAGAAUGCAAGCCCACCAUGGUGGGAUGUUGCUCCACUCACCACCCGGAACAUGCAAGGUGCUCAAAAAAUAUUUGCUUAAUAUCAGCAUGAAAUACUCUCUCUGCCCCGUGCUGUGCCAGACACAGGGGUUUUUCUGGAGUCAGUGCUCUAAGAGGGCCUGUAUUGAGUCAGUGCAGGAAGUUUUGUCUGAAUAAAGCAAAGGAGGC